rnacentral:rRNA from 1 species
CCUACGGGGGGCAGCAGUGGGGAAUAUUGGACAAUGGGGGGAACCCUGAUCCAGCCAUGCCGCGUGUGUGAAGAAGGCCUUAUGGUUGUAAAGCACUUUAAGCGAGGAGGAGGCUACUAGUAUUAAUACUACUGGAUAGUGGACGUUACUCGCAGAAUAAGCACCGGCUAACUCUGUGCCAGCAGCCGCGGUAAUACAGAGGGUGCGAGCGUUAAUCGGAUUUACUGGGCGUAAAGCGUGCGUAGGCGGCCAUUUAAGUCAAAUGUGAAAUCCCCGAGCUUAACUUGGGAAUUGCAUUCGAUACUGGAUGGCUAGAGUAUGGGAGAGGAUGGUAGAAUUCCAGGUGUAGCGGUGAAAUGCGUAGAGAUCUGGAGGAAUACCGAUGGCGAAGGCAGCCAUCUGGCCUAAUACUGACGCUGAGGUACGAAAGCAUGGGGAGCAAACAGGAUUAGAUACCCCAGUAGUC